UUUUUUUUUUUUUUUUGGUUUUUCGAGACAGGGUUUCUCUGUGUAGCUUUGCGCCUUUCCUGGAACUCACUUGGUAGCCCAGGCUGGCCUCGAACUCACAGAGAUCCGCCUGGCUCUGCCUCCCGAGUGCUGGGAUUAAAGGCGUGCGCCACCACCGCCCGGCGCCUGGCUGGUUUUAAACACACAGAUUCACCUGCUCCUGCCUUCUGAGUGCUUGGAUUAAAGGAGUGUGCCACCGCACGUGGCCGUUUUCAUAGCUGCUUUAUGUGAAAUGCUUAUAAACAAAACAAUCUCGUAUUUGUACAACAAUGGAAGACUUUUUAGUUACUUGCUGAUAGGAAAUAGUACAGCUGUAGCCACACUUAGGCCAUCUGGUUCCAAAGUUUAUAUAUAUAUAUAUAUAUAUAUAUAUAUAUGUAUGUAUGUAGUGGUUUGGUGUUUUUGAAACAGGGUUUCUCUGUGAAUCCCUGGCUGUUCUGGAACUCACUCUGUAGCCCAGGCUGGCCUUGAAUGAACUCUCAGAGAUCCACCUGCCUCUGCCUCCUGAGUGCCAGGAGUAAAGGCAUGCGCCACCACCGCCUGGCCAAAAUUUGUAUUCUUGGUCCCUGGAUAUUUGCAUGGGAUGUAAAGGGAAUUAAUCUCAUACAUAUGUUAAGAGGCAGUUUCUGGCUGGCUGUAAUGGUUUGUGCAGGUAGAUCUCUGUGAGUUCAAGGAUUUGAGUUCAAUCCCAGGUACCCAUGGAAAAUCCAGAUGUAGUGCACACUUGUCAUCCCAGUGCUGAGGAGGCAAAUCCCUGGGACUCGCUGGCCUGCCAGCCAAGCCUACUUGACAAGCCAUCUCCAAGGUCCUCUGGUCUCCACAUACACAUGCAAACACACACACACACACACACACACACACACACACACACACACACACACACCUCCCUGUCACCCCCAAGUCCAGCAUAGUUCUGUCACUCUUAAUGUGUGUGAGAGAGGAAAGGACCUGUGUCCUACAGGUGAAACGGUUUUGUUCUUUUAAGAUUUAUUUAUUUACUAUGGAUACAGUAUAAUGUCUGUGUGUAUGCCAGCAGGCCAGAAGAGGGCACCAGAUCUCAUUACAGAUGGUUGUGAGUCAUCAUGUGGUUGCUGGGAAUUGAACUCAGGACCUCUGGAAGAGCAGCCAGUGCUCUUAACCUCUGAGCCAUCGCUCCAGUCCCAGAUUCAAGACGUUGAUGUCCUAAUGUUGCUCAUUACAAAAUGAUGUCAACAUGGCCAAGUGCAUUAGGAAGAUUCCAGAAAAGUGCUGCAGAGCUGCUGACUAUCCUCAGAGGCUAUCAAAAUGCUACUUCGAUUCUUUUCUAUACUGCCUAUAAUUCAAGUUAUUAAACUUUAAAGCAUAUGAAAGCAUUUAUGAAGAUCCUAAAUUGUAUUUCUCAUUAAAGGAAAAGAAAGGGCGUGGUGAGUCAUGUUCCUGGACUGACUUAGGGAGAGAAGGCAGAAGGCCACUCUCAGUCACUCUGAAAGUUAGAACUCAGCUCUUGGCAGUUAAGAGUUCCUCAGUUUUACAGGCUUCUGCUCCUCUGAGCAUCCUGAAGGCAGUGAGAACACAAGGCUUCUGAUUUUCUAAACCAAAGUCAUUAUCAAAUGGAUUUAUUAAAGAGCUAUGCAGAACAACCAUGGGUGUGGAUGCAGCUGGCAUCCAUGGGAAUUAGAAAGGGCCACCCAAGGGCACUUACAAUUGAUUCAGGGUAAAACAAUCCAAGGCUUGUUACACAGGUCCAAACUAAAAUCAAUGAGCAAUUGUGAUAGGAAGAAUUUGUUUGCAUUUUUAAAAUUUUUAAAAUAUUACUUAUUUAUUGAGACAGGGUUUCAAUAUGUAGCCCUGACUGACCUGAAACUUGCUAUUAAAUCAGGAAAUCAGGCUGGCCCUGAACUCACAGAGCUCCGACCUCCUCUGGCUUCCAGGUUACUUUCUUUCAUUCUUUUUUUUUUUUUUUUUUUUUUGGUUUUUUGAGACAGGUUUCUCUGUGUAGUUUUGGUGCCUGUCCUGGAACUCACUCUGUGGUCCAGUCUAGCCUCAAACUCACAGAGAUCCUCCUAGCUCUGCCUCCCAAGUGCUGGGAUUAAAGGCAUGCGCCACCACCGCCCAGCCAGUUUAUAUUCUUAUAUUUGCUUGUAAAGGAUAUUUAUUGUGUUUACUGUUUUGUUUUGUUUUGUUUUUCCUUAAUACUGUUUAAGAACCCCAGCAUUUUCAUCUUUAAAAAAAUAAAUAAAUAAAAAAGGAAGAAAAUACAGGUUCCUGACAAAUAACUACCUGUAAAAGAUGUGGCCACUUCUGCAAUAGCUUUUCAUCCGAGAGACUUUCAUAUUGAAGCUAGUACAUCCAUUUUUCUUUUAUUUUUUUGGUCUUUAGAUAAUUUUAUGUGUGUGUUUUACCUGCAUGUAGGUCUGUAAAUUACAUGUGUGCCUGAUGCUACAGAGAUCCACCUGCCUCUGCCUCCUGAGUGCUGUGAUAAAAGGCAUGUGCCAUCACCGCCCGGCUCAUUUUUAAACUCUUAUACACUCAUGAUUUAUUUUCAUGUUGGCUUUAAAAAAGUGGUUUCAUCAUUCAUGCCAACGAUCAGUCUGUAUCAGGCACCCACAGGACAAACAGAUCUGUCUUUGACACAGCAUGGGAGUGCUAGUAAGACCAAUAUGAUAAUGACUGCUAUGUAGUCCAAGCUGGACACAAACUCACUUUGUAGCUCAGGCUGGCCUGGAACUUGAAACCUGCUGUGGGAUAUUCUGUGUAUUAAAUGUGUUGCUCUGAUUGGUUAAUAAAUAAAACACUGAUUGGCCAGUAGCCAGGCAGGAAGUAUAGGUGGGACAAGGAGAGAGGAGAAUUCUGGGAAGUGGAAGGCUGAGGCAGAGAGACGCUGCCAGCCGCCGUGAUGAGAAGCAACAUGUUAAGAUACCGGUAAGCCAUGAGCCACAUGGCAACUUAUAGAUUAAUAGAAAUGGGUUAAUUUAAGAUAGAAGAACUAGUUAACAAGAAGCCUGCCACAGCCAUACAGUUUGUAAGCAAUAUAAGUCUCUGUGUGUGUGUGUUUACUUGGUUGGGUCUGAGCGGCUGCAGGACUGGCGGGUGAGAGAGAUUUGUCCUGGCCCUAGGCCAGGCAGGACCAGGAAAACUCUAGCUGCAGAAACUUCUUGCCUCAAUCUCCUAAGUAGCUGGGAUUACAGGCAUGUGUCAUCACAUUUUACUGGGAUCAUAUAGUUCAAAAAAUUCUACAGUCUAUUGAGAAAGAGGUCCUUUUUUUUUUUUUUUUUUUUG